AGCGGUGGUAGUACUGUUAGUAGUAGCAAUGGUUGUAAUAGGGUUUUUAUAGCCUAUGGGUUAGUUAUAGUGACCUAUUUUACAGUGGGUUAUAGUGGGCUAGUAUACAAGGCUAGAGUGAGUACUAUAUCAUCAUAUAAUGUCUUUUUAAGCUCAGAAUUUGUAUUUGUUUUCUCAUUGAAGCCUGCAUUCCACCAUUGAAAUGAAUGGGGAUACCACAAGCUUUAUAGUUUAUGAAGUAGAAAUGAUAAUACAAAUAUGUGUUGAAGGCAUCUAAGUUGAGUCAGUCUGCACAACAUUAGGGUGGUGUUUGUAACUGUGGGUUUGUAGCAGUGGUCAGUAGUUGUUUGGUUGUUUUGCUUGUUCUUUGGGCCCUACAGUAUGGACAUGGUCAGUAGUUGUGUGGAAGUGAUCAGUAGUUGUGUCGCUGUGGUCAGUAGUUGUGUGGUUGUGCUCAGUAGUUGUGUAGUUGUGGUCAGUAGUUGUAUCACUGUGGUCAGUAGUUGUGUGGUUGUGCUCAGUAGUUGUGUGGUUGUGGUCUGUAGUUGUGGUCAGUAGUUGUGUCACUGUGGUCAGUAGUUCUGUGGUUGUGGUCAGUAGUUGUGGUCAGUUGUUGUGUGGUUGUGGUCAGUAGUUGUGUGGUUGUGGUCUGUAGUUGUGUCUCUGUGGUCAGUAGUUGUGGUCAGUAGUUGUGCCACUGUGGUCAGUACUUCUAGUCAGUAGUUGUGUCACUGUGGUCAGUAGUUGUGUGGUAGUGGUCAGUAGUUGUGGUCAGUAGUUGUGUGGUUGUGGUCAGUACUUCUAGUCAGUAGUUGUGUCACUGUGGUCAGUUGUUGUGGCCAGUAGUUGUGUGGUUGUGGUCAGUUGUUGUGUGGUUGUGGUCAGUAGUUGUGGUCAGUAGUUGUGUGGUUGUGGUCAGUUGUUGUGUGGUUGUGGUCAGUAGUUGUGGUCAGUAGUUGUGUCACUGUGGUCAGUACUUCUAGUCAGUAGUUGUGUGGUUGUGGUCAGUUGUUGUGUGGUUGUGGUCAGUAGUUGUGGUCAGUAGUUGUGUCACUGUGGUCAGUACUUCUAGUCAGUAGUUGUGUCACUGUGGUCAGUAGUUGUGUGGUAGUGGUCAGUAGUUGUGGUCAGUAGUUGUGUGGUUGUCAUAUGCUCUGCUCACCUGUGUGUAAUAAUCAAUUUAUGCAUCAUAC
rnacentral:lncRNA from 1 species